GUGCAGUGGCGGCAGCUACCAUGCAGUCGACGGAAGGCCCUGCUUGCAGGGUACUCGAGUGGCGAACGGGUGAGUAACACGUGGGUGAUCUGCCCUGCACUUCGGGAUAAGCUUGGGAAACUGGGUCUAAUACCGGAUAGGAGCCAUCUUUAGUGUGGUGGUUGGAAAGUUUUUUCGGUGUAGGAUGAGCUCGCGGCCUAUCAGCUUGUUGGUGGGGUAAUGGCCUACCAAGGCGGCGACGGGUAGCCGGCCUGAGAGGGUGUACGGCCACAUUGGGACUGAGAUACGGCCCAGACUCCUACGGGAGGCAGCAGUGGGGAAUAUUGCACAAUGGGCGCAAGCCUGAUGCAGCGACGCCGCGUGGGGGAUGAAGGCCUUCGGGUUGUAAACUCCUUUCGCUAGGGACGAAGCUUUUUGUGACGGUACCUAGAUAAGAAGCACCGGCUAACUACGUGCCAGCAGCCGCGGUAAUACGUAGGGUGCGAGCGUUGUCCGGAAUUACUGGGCGUAAAGGGCUCGUAGGUGGUUUGUCGCGUCGUCUGUGAAAUUCUGGGGCUUAACUCCGGGCGUGCAGGCGAUACGGGCAUAACUUGAGUGCUGUAGGGGUAACUGGAAUUCCUGGUGUAGCGGUGAAAUGCGCAGAUAUCAGGAGGAACACCGAUGGCGAAGGCAGGUUACUGGGCAGUUACUGACGCUGAGGAGCGAAAGCAUGGGUAGCGAACAGGAUUAGAUACCCUGGUAGUCCAUGCCGUAAACGGUGGGCGCUAGGUGUGAGGGUCUUUCUACGACUUUCGUGCCGUAGCUAACGCAUUAAGCGCCCCGCCUGGGGAGUACGGCCGCAAGGCUAAAACUCAAAGGAAUUGACGGGGGCCCGCACAAGCGGCGGAGCAUGUGGAUUAAUUCGAUGCAACGCGAAGAACCUUACCUGGGCUUGACAUACACCAGAUUGGGCUAGAGAUAGUUCGUCCCUUUGUGGUUGGUGUACAGUGGUGCAUGGUUG
rnacentral:rRNA from 1 species